rnacentral:rRNA from 1 species
AACGAACGCUGGCGGCAUGCCUAACACAUGAAAGUCGAACGAGAUCUUCGGGUCUAGUGGCGCACGGGUGCGUAACGCGUGGGAAUCUGCCCUUUGGUUCGGAAUAACAGUUGGAAACGACUGUUAAUACCGGAUGAUGACGAAAGUCCAAAGAUUUAUCGCCAGAGGAUGAGCCCGCGUAGGAUUAGCUAGUUGGUGUGGUAAGGGCGCACCAAGGCGACGAUCCUUAGCUGGUCUGAGAGGAUGAUCAGCCACACUGGGACUGAGACACGGCCCAGACUCCUACGGGAGGCAGCAGUGGGGAAUAUUGGACAAUGGGCGAAAGCCUGAUCCAGCAAUGCCGCGUGAGUGAUGAAGGCCUUAGGGUUGUAAAGCUCUUUUACCCGGGAUGAUAAUGACGGUACCGGGAGAAUAAGCUCCGGCUAACUCCGUGCCAGCCGCCGCCGUAA